GACGAACGCUGGCGGCGUGCCUAAUACAUGCAAGUCGAACGCAGUGGUGACGGGUGAGUAACCUGUGGGUAACCUCACAUCCGAGGGGAUACCACUUGGAAACAGGUGCUAAACCGAUACUGAUGGAUGAACCCGCGGUGCAUUAGCUAGUUGGUGAGGUAACGGCGCACCAAGGCGACGAUGCGUAGCCGGCCUGAGAGGGUGAUCGGUCACACUGGAACUGAGACACGGCCCAGACUCCUACGGGAGGCAGCAGUGGGGAAUAUUCGGCAAUGGGCGAAAGUCUGACCGAGCCACGCCGCGUGUGUGAAGAAGGUUUUCGGAUCGUAAAGCUCUGUUGUUAGGGAGGCGUUAUCUAAAGAGAAAGCCACGGCUAACUCCGUGCCAGCAGCCGCGGUAAUUC
rnacentral:rRNA from 1 species